ACGCUCGACACCUACGGGAGGUAGCAGUGGGGAAUAUUGCACAAUGGGGGAAACCCUGAUGCAGCAACGCCGCGUGAAGGAAGACGGUUUUCGGAUUGUAAACUUCUGUUCUUAGUGAAGAUAGUGACGGUAGCUAAGGAGCAAGCCACGGCUAACUACGUGCCGGCAGCCGCGGUAAUCUGAGCGGGCUGGCAAGGC
rnacentral:rRNA from 1 species